UACGUAGGUGACAAGCGUUGUCCGGAUUUACUGGGCGUAAAGAGCGCGCAGGCGGCUGGUCAAGUCCGAUGUGAAAUCUCCCGGCUCAACUGGGAAACUGCAUCGGAAACUGAUCGGCUUGAAGAUGGGAGAGGGUAGUGGAAUUCCCGGUGUAGUGGUGAAAUGCGUAGAUAUCGGGAGGAACACCAGUGGCGAAGGCGACUACCUGGCCCAUUCUUGACGCUGAGGCGCGAAAGCUAGGGGAGCGAACGGG
rnacentral:rRNA from 1 species